rnacentral:rRNA from 1 species
ACGAACGCUGGCGGCGUGCUUAACACAUGCAAGUCGAACGGUGAAGGGGUCUGCUUUUGUGGGCCCUGGAUGAGUGGCGAACGGGUGAGUAACACGUGAGUAACCUGCCCCCUUCUUCUGGAUAACCGCAUGAAAGUGUGGCUAAUACGGGAUAUUCUGGGUCUGUCGCAUGAUGGGUCUGGGAAAGAUUGCGCCUUUGGGUGUUUUUGGUGGGGGAUGGGCUCGCGGCCUAUCAGCUUGUUGGUGGGGUGAUGGCCUACCAAGGCGGUGACGGGUAGCCGGCCUGAGAGGGUGGACGGUCACACUGGGACUGAGACACGGCCCAGACUCCUACGGGAGGCAGCAGUGGGGAAUAUUGCACAAUGGGCGCAAGCCUGAUGCAGCGACGCCGCGUGAGGGAUGGAGGCCUUCGGGGUGUAAACCUCUUUCGCCAGUGAAGCAGGCCUGCUCCUUGUGGGUGGGUUGACGGUAGCUGGAUAAGAAGCGCCGGCUAACUACGUG